UCAUAAUGGCAGAAGCAAGAUUAUCCUUACAUUAAUAAUAGCGAAAACAUAGACAAUAAUAUCUAGGUCUGUCACUCAAAUGAAUGUGACAUUGCUACCACAAAGCACUAAAUUGCACAAAUCCCAUUCAACCCUGGAAAAAAAACAUGAAACCUCUGCACAAUCUCAAUCAGUUUCAUAUCAUAAUCACAUUCCCCCCUGCUUGCACGAAACAUGUUAAUCUAAGUCAUAAAAAACAAAACCGACAUCCUUCAUUGCUUGAAAUUCAAAAGCUGGAGGAAAUGUCAGCCGAGUGGAUAAGGUAUGUGAGUACCAGAGCCAACAACAUCAACACAUAUGCAACACCUUGAUCAACAGCC
rnacentral:lncRNA from 1 species